rnacentral:rRNA from 1 species
GAUGAACGCUAGCGGCAGGCUUAAUACAUGCAAGUCGAGGGGCAGCAUGAUUGUAGCAAUACAAUUGAUGGCGACCGGCAAACGGGUGCGGAACACGUACACAACCUUCCAACAAGUGGGGGAUAGCCCAGAGAAAUUUGGAUUAAUACCCCGUAACAUAGCGAUGUGGCAUCACAUUGCUAUUAUAGAUUUUUCGCUUGUUGAUGGGUGUGCGGCUGAUUAGAUAGUUGGCGGGGUAACGGCCCACCAAGUCUACGAUCAGUAGCUGAUGUGAGAGAAUGAUCAGCCACACGGGCACUGAGACACGGGCCCGACUCCUACGGGAGGCAGCAGUAAGGAAUAUUGGACAAUGGACGCAAGGCUGAUCCAGCCAUGCCGCGUGAAGGAUUAAGGUCCUCUGGAUUGUAAACUUCUUUUAUAAGGGACGAAAAAAGGCUUUUCUAAGUCGUCUGACGGUACCUUAUGAAUAAGCACCGGCUAACUCCGUGCAGCCGCCGCCGUAAUAC